AAGGAGGCCCUAAAUGGCGGACAAAGAUACCACAAGCCAAUCUCAAAUUUAUCCUCAAGACUUCCCCCUCCCAUACUUAAAGAAGCUUGUCAAGGCAUUGUCCCAAAUAAAGACAGUUCCCUAAGUGGAACUCUACCACCACUGAGCCUCAGAGAAGAUAAAUUCACAGCUUACAUAUCUUGAAAAUGCAGGCAAACAGAAAGGGAAGGCCAG